rnacentral:rRNA from 1 species
GACGAACGCUGGCGGCGUGCUUAACACAUGCAAGUCGAGCGGUAAGGCCCUUUCGGGGGUACGACGAGCGGCGAACGGGUGAGUAACACGUGGGUGACCUGCCCUCAGCUCUGGGAUAAGCCUGGGAAACCGGGUCUAAUACUGGAUAUGACUCCAUGACGCAUGUUGUGGGGUGGAAAGCCUUGUGCGGCUGAGGAUGGGCCCGCGGCCUAUCAGCUUGUUGGUGGGGUGAGGGCCUACCAAGGCGACGACGGGUAGCCGGCCUGAGAGGGCGACCGGCCACACUGGGACUGAGACACGGCCCAGACUCCUACGGGAGGCAGCAGUGGGGAAGUCUUGCGCAAUGGGCGAAAGCCUGACGCAGCGACGCCGCGUGAGGGAUGACGGCCUCGGUUGUAA